rnacentral:rRNA from 1 species
UACGUAGGGUGCGAGCGUUAAUCGGAAUUACUGGGCGUAAAGCGUGCGCAGGCGGUUUUGUAAGCCAGAUGUGAAAGCCCCGGGCUUAACCUGGGAAUGGCAUUUGGGACUGCAAGGCUUGAGUGCGGCAGAGGAGACUGGAAUUCCUGGUGUAGCAGUGAAAUGCGUAGAUAUCUGGAGGAACACCGGUGGCGAAGGCGGCAUCCUGGACCGAGAUUGACGCUGAGGCGCGAAAGCCAGGGGAGCAAAGCGGG